CUACGGAUAAUUUCAAAAUAAAAGUAUUUUAGUAGAGUGAUAUUGUGGGAAAGCAGUGCGCUGUUCUCGCUGCACAGCAAGACGUAGAGGAGGGGACGGUGCGUCACUGCCUGCAGUAAAUCCAGUAGUUAGGUGAAACACUAGGAUCCGUACGGUAGCUUUUUAUUUUCGCUCUCGUCAGUUUAACAUGCUAUUCAAUCGUACUUCGUAUUAAAUUGGUUAGAAUAAAUUUCAAGAGCUUAUAAGUACUUCGGAUCUGUGGCGCUGAAUGUGAUUUUGUGGACUAAGAUAUUUCAGUUUCGAUCUGUUUAUUGAAUAAUAUAUGGGUGACAGUUCCAUUUAUUCAAUAUUGUAUUUGAACAUAAAACGGAGAGAGUAGGCUAUACGCCACAUGACAAACCCGAAUAUUGGUCAACGUAAAUAAUCUCCACUAAUUUUCUAUUUAGAUAAAAAAGAAGCUCUGAUAUCAAGAAAAUAAUUCAUUAAACGAUUCUAACAAAGCUUAAAGUUUACUUCUGUGAAUUAUAAUAAACAAAAAAAGAAAAAAAAGCUGAUUGAAAAUAUUUUCCUGGACGUCAAUUGGUCUGUUUAUUGGAAAGUACUUAUUAUAUCAUUCGUUAUUAUGGCUGCUGGUCUUUCGCGCAGGUGAUGGAUGGGGUCUUGGAGGGCCAGAGGCCCUAGGUCAUCGUCGUUGCAGGGCACAUAAGUUUGAGGGUCUGAGUGAAGUGUCACGACUAUAUAAUCAUAUCUACAUAUAUAUAUAUAUAUAUAUAUAUAUACAAUAAAUACUUACUAUUACUUGUGAUUAUUUAUUUUAAGUUUAAUUUUAUAUACGUGGUAUUGAGUGUUAGUGCGAGUGUGUUCCUGCUAUCUCAACAUCGCCGUCAUCUCCCAGGUCAUGUUUCAGCAAGGGAAGGAAAUGCAGCAAGGCGUUCCAACAUGGCAGUAAAAUCGGGAGGGACCACUUAGGAUACCUUCCCUUCUAUUAACUCAAAAAUACUGCCAAUCCGGAGCCAGGUGUGCUGUCGAAACAAUUCAAAUUUUCCGGUUAUAAUAAAUUACUAUUAAGUGAGAUCUGAUGUGGUUCUACCAGCCAUUUGAGUGGUGAUUAUCAAAUAGAUAAAUCACUGAUCAAGAAUAUAUUUAAGGGCAUAGAUGAUAUUUUUGUGAUGAAAACUUCUAGUCUUUGACAGGAGACGAUGGCAACACAACGAGAAGACAUAGUACAAUGGAUAAUGGCACUAAACAAAUAAUACAAUAUUAGUCUAUAAAUUAUCAUCAGCUGGUUAAAAUCCAAAUUAAGUCAAUGGUUUUUUGAAUUACACAGAUCAAUAUAAGUUAUAAAAAACACUAAUAGUGAUGAAAAAGAUCAAUAACAACAAAUCAUCUAUUAAACAAUAAAGUAAAACGAUGCACGAUGGGGAAAAGAUUGCACUCUUUGCAAAAUGAAAAGCUCGAAAUAUUUGACUGUGAUCUUUAAUAAAAUACGAAAUCAAUUUAAAUUUAAUAUGAAAUAUGUAUAUUUAGAAAGUUAUGAAUAUGUUUCAUGAAAAUUAAUGUACUCCAUUAAGUAAAUCAUUUUAAGAUAAAAAAUUGAGAAUUGUAAAGAUAUUAUAGCAAUGAAAAAAAAAUCUUGUUUU